CCUACGGGGAGCUGCAGUGAGGAAUAUUGGUCAAUGGUCGGGAGACUGAACCAGCCAAGCCGCGUGAGGGAUGAAGGUACAGAGUAUCGUAAACCUCUUUUGUCAGGGAACAAAGGCGGGGACGUGUCCCCGUAUGAGUGUACCUGAAGAAAAAGCAUCGGCUAACUCCGUGCCAGCAGCCGCGGUAAUACGGAGGAUGCGAGCGUUAUCCGGAUUUAUUGGGUUUAAAGGGGGGGCAGGCGGGCAGAUAAGUCAGCCGUCAAAUCCCGGGGCUCAACCCCGGCCCCGCCGUUGAAACUGGCAGUCUCGAGUUGGAGAGAAGUAUGCGGAAUGCGCGGUGUAGCGGUGAAAUGCGUAGAUAUCGCGCAGAACUCCGAUGGCGAAGGCAGAAUGCCGGCUCCACACUGACGCUGAGGCACGAAAGCGUGGGUAGCGAACAGGAUUAGAUACCCGUGUAGUC
rnacentral:rRNA from 1 species